ACUAAGCAUGUAGUACCGAGGAUGUAGGAAUUUCGGACGCGGGUUCAACUCCCGCCAGCUCCACCA
rnacentral:tmRNA from 1 species